rnacentral:rRNA from 1 species
GUCUGAUGUGAAAGCCCACGGCACAACCGUGGAGGGUCAUUGGAAACUGGAAAACUUGAGUGCAGAAGAGGAAAGUGGAAUUCCAUGUGUAGCGGUGAAAUGCGCAGAGAUAUGGAGGAACACCAGUGGCGAAGGCGACUUUCUGGUCUGUAACUGACGCUGAUGUGCGAAAGCGUGGGGAUCAAACAGGAUUAGAUAC